rnacentral:ribozyme from 1 species
GAAGUCGAAGCAGAAGUCGAAGCAGAAGUCGAAGUCCGAGGCGAUACUACAGAAGGAGAUGACCAAACAAAGUGUGGUGUAUCACCUCUUCACCUUUGUAAUCUUAGCAUAGAUAAAAGCC